AUGCUUACUUCUGACCACUGUGCACCAAUGGUGUUCGACAGGAAGCGCCUUUACGGCCGGAAGUCGAGCCCGCGGCGACCGGCCAACAAGGGUCCGUCCAGCCCAGCAGGCGGAAGAGGAGUGCGACGCGAACUGAAACGUCGCCGCAACGGUACGGAGCACCGCUAUUUUAAGGGGAGGAUUCCCAGGAGGUAUAUUAAUGCUCAUAACUUUUCCAGAAAGAGCGCUCGCCGGACAGUGUCCGGGGAGGUUGCCAAUAAAGCCUCCGCCAGCCAUGCUCCAACGCAUGGCCCGGAAGGGGAGGCGAAUAUAAGGCAUGAGUCAGACGCUCCUCCGACGGAGGAUGCCGACAGGCUGUCCGCCACCCGAUCUGAGGUGGAGAGCGCCAUGAAUCACAGGCGUCGCCGGACAGUUCUUCGUGACAUGUGUUUCUCCCCGGAGGCGUUAAAUGCCUUUGAUGCAGGAAACGCGCACCUCCGUGCCAUUCAAGAUGGGUUAACCAGAGCCACGGAGCAGUAUGUGAAAGACAUACAUGAUCUUACGGAGAAGAAUACCCACCUGUCCCAGGAGCUCCAAGAGUGCAAGGCCCAACUGGAGGCCGCACUGGCCGCCACAGGGGGAGCCACAGAGACCCCCGCUGAGGGCGCCGGACUAGAUCCGGACAAGCAACAGCUACUGCGUCAGCUAAAGGCUAGCGACAGGGUGCUUAUGAAGGUGCAGCAGGAGAGAAACAAGCUCCAAGAUGCCCACACCCAGCUAGGAGAAGAGCUGAAAGGUGUUCGGGCCAGCUGUCUGGCUCCUUGA
rnacentral:rRNA from 1 species